rnacentral:rRNA from 1 species
UACGUAGGGUGCAAGCGUUAAUCGGAAUUACUGGGCGUAAAGCGUGCGCAGGCGGCUUUGCAAGACAGAUGUGAAAUCCCCGGGCUUAACCCGGGAAUAGCGCUUGAUACUGUGGGACUUGAGUCCGGGAGAGGAUAGUGGAAUUCCCAGUGUAGAGGUGAAAUUCGUAGAUAUUGGGAAGAACACCAGUGGCGAAGGCGGCUAUCUGGACCGGUACUGACGCUGAGGCGCGAAAGCGUGGGGAGCAAACAGG